rnacentral:SRP_RNA from 1 species
CGGUGGGGUAGGGCCGGGGAGGUAGCCGCUCCCUGUACCAGAAGGCUAAUGCUGGGGCCGGAUAACCAGCUCGGGCGGAUUGCAUUCCUGAUCCUAUAGGGUGGGGUGAGCUGAUGAUCCUUCGACCCUGCGGAUCCCCGGUGGGGAGAGGAUCGCCCGGAGGGGCGAUAACCGCCCCUUUGCUGUGGAAAUGGGUCAGGCCCGGAAGGGAGCAGCCCUAACACAGACGGAGGAUGCUGCAGGAUAUCGGAGGUGAGGGUUAGCCCUUCUCCUGAUGGAUCAGAACUGCAUUCCCACCGGGCUGGGGCCCACCG